rnacentral:snRNA from 1 species
UGUUCACUUCAGUAGUAUACGACUCUAAAAUUGGAAGAAUACAGAGAAGAUCAACAUGGCUCCUGAGCAAGGAUGACAUGCAAAUUUGUGAAGCGUUGCUAUUUUUU